AUGUGGAAACAAUUUAUAGUAUUCGAGUUUUUUUAUGAUACUCCUAUUAUUCCGAAUGAGAAGAAUUUUGCUUAUGUGGAAUGUAGUAAAUUUUCUAUGCUUGUAGAUCAUGAAAAGAAUGCUUUAUGUGAUAGUUAUAUUGCUGAAUUCAUUCAUGAUGCUACUGAAAUUUAUUACGAAGGAGGAACAUAUGCUUGUAGGAAUUGCAAUAAUAUCAUGUUUCCUCUCUAUGUGUUGAAAAUCUUGAAGCUAUGCUUGUUUUGCUUUCCUAUGCUAGUCGAUUCUUGUUCCCAUAAAUUGUUUGCUCACAAAAUCCCUAUGCAUAGGAAGUGA
rnacentral:rRNA from 1 species